rnacentral:rRNA from 1 species
ACGAACCGUGCGAACGUUAUUCGGAAUCACUGGGCUUAAAGCGCGUGUAGGCGGAUUGGUGCGUCGGCGCCUGAAAUCCCCCGGCUCAACCGGGGAACGCGGCCCGAAACGACCAGUCUCGAGGGACGUAGGGGGAACUGGAACUUCCGGUGGAGCGGUGAAAUGCGUUGAGAUCGGAAGGAACGCCCGCGGCGAAAGCGAGUUCCUGGACGUCUGCUGACGCUGAGACGCGAAAGCCAGGGGAGCGAACGG